rnacentral:lncRNA from 1 species
CAAACAACAAACCAAAUCAAAGAAAUACAUAAAUGAAAGAGAGAGUAAGAAGUGACAAAUCCUAUUAAUGAGCUUUCUUCAAUCUUCUCUCCUCUUCAAUGCCUUCAAUCUUGGUAAAAGAUGUGGUAAUGGAGGCUAGGGUUUGGUGUGAAUGAAUUGGGGAAGAUGGAAAUGGGUGAGUAUGAGGUUGGGGAUGAUGAAUAAUGUGAGGAAAAGGGGGAGAAAGGGGUUUAAGGGCUGAAAAACGCGACUCCGCUCUUUUCCCGCGGUCAUGGCCCGCGCCCGUGGUGCUCAAACGUGGGCAAAACUCAGGGAACCCGCGGUCCCGCCCCGCGGCCGCGGGUGGUGACCGCGGUACACCCCUGGAAUUGGGAACAGCUGACCCGCGGUCCCACCCCGCG